UGUUAAAAAUUUCAUCCAUUUCAGCUGUUAAAAACUGACGUGGCUGAUAGGAUAAUCAGACAGUUAGAUAUGGCAUGCCACAUGUGCUUCAUUCUGAUGUACAAUGACCAGUUAUUAAUAGUAGAAAUGGAUGAAAUUUUUAACA
rfam:Gossypium arboreum cultivar AKA8401 contig_907_15, whole genome shotgun sequence.